GAUGAACGCUAGCUACAGGCUUAGCACAUGCAAGUCGAGGGGAAACGGCAUUAAGUGCUUGCACUUUUUGGACGUCGACCGGCGCACGGGUGAGUAACGCGUAUCCAACCUUCCCAUGACUAAGGGAUAACCUGCCGAAAGGCAGACUAAUACCUUAUGGUCUUCACUGACGGCAUCAGAUGUGAAGUAAAGAUUUAUCGGUUAUGGAUGGGGAUGCGUCUGAUUAGCUUGUUGGCGGGGUAACGGCCCACCAAGGCAACGAUCAGUAGGGGUUCUGAGAGGAAGGUCCCCCACAUUGGAACUGCGACACGGUCCAAACUCCUACGGGAGGCAGCAGUGAGGAAUAUUGGUCAAUGGGCGAGAGCCUGAACCAGCCAAGUAGCGUGCAGGAUGACGGCCCUAUGGGUUGUAAACUGCUUUUGUAUGGGGAUAAAGUCAAUCACGUGUGAUUGUUUGCAGGUACCAUACGAAUAAGGACCGGCUAAUUCCGUG
rnacentral:rRNA from 1 species